rnacentral:rRNA from 1 species
UACGGAGAGUGCAAGCAUUAAUCGGAAUUAUUGGGCGUAAAGGGCGCGUAGGCGGGAUGGAAAGUCAGAUGUGAAAUUUCGGAGCUCAACUUCGAAGCGGCAUUUGAAACUCCAUCUAGAGGUGACGAGAAACGGAAUACACGUGUAGCGGUGAAAUGCGUAGAUAUGUGGAAGAACACCUGUGGCGAAAGACGGUUUCUAGUUGAUACCUGACGCUGAGGCGCGAGAGCAA